rnacentral:rRNA from 1 species
CAGCAGCCACGGUAAUACGGAGGGUGCAAGCGUUAAUCGGAAUUACUGGGCGUAAAGCGCACGCAGGCGGUUUGUUAAGUCAGAUGUGAAAUCCCCGAGCUUAACUUGGGAACUGCAUCCAAAACUGGCAAGCUAGAGUACGGUAGAGGGUGGUGGAAUUUCCUGUGUAGCGGUGAAAUGCGUAGAUAUAGGAAGGAACACCAGUGGCGAAGGCGACCACCUGGACUGAUACUGACACUGAGGUGCGAAAGCGUGGGGAGCAAACAGGAUUAGAUACCCCAGUAGUCCCUGUCUCUUAUAC